UACGUAGGCAGCGAGCGUUGUUCGGAGUUACUGGGCGUAAAGAGUGCGUAGGCGGUUUUCUAAGGUUGGUGUGAAAUCUCCCGGCUUAACUGGGAGGGUGCGCCGAAGACUGGAAGGCUUGAGUAUGGGAGAGGUAAGCGGAAUUCCUGGUGUAGCGGUGAAAUGCGUAGAUAUCAGGAGGAACACCUGCGGUGUAGACGGCUUACUGGACCAUAACUGACGCUGAGGCACGAAAGCGUGGGAAGCAAACAGG
rnacentral:rRNA from 1 species